UCAAAAUGUGCCAACUCCCAAUAAUUAACUGAGGGGCCAGCCGUUCACACUUGCUGGACAAGCUGCUGAGUUUUUAAGGCUCGAGUUCAACAUAAACUGAAGGCAAAAUGGGAACCGAUGACAUUACGGACAUUGAUGAUUAACAGGUGAUUACCACGCAGACACAGGUGCAUGCUCUUUGACCGGACUCACUGACCUGCUGAUGGCCUCCAUGUUGCCAGAGGGGUGGCUGAGUGGCGAGGCAGUGUCUGGGGUUUCUUGGCGAGCUGUCUCCAUUGGCUCUGGAUUGUGGCUUCUAAGCUCUGAGCUGAUUGUUGUUAUCAAAUCCCAUCAUGUGACCGAGCAGCGAGGCCACAUGCAGCAGGGGCUGUCUGAGAGAUGACCUGAGGCUAAUCAGCACCAAGGCAAUGCAGCAGAUAAGAAAGCAGGAAGUAUGUAUUGGAAAGGGUGACAUAUAGACUGUAGUAAACCAUAAUAACAAACCUCUUAAACAAGAACCAUUAAUCACAGACCACAAAUGUUAUUCUCUGUACCUUCUUUUUCCUCGGCCUCGCCUGAGGAAAGUUAGUGGAGGAUUUGUUCAGAAGUUCUGCAUGUUGUGGUGUUUCUUUUUGUUCUCUCUUGUAACAUGUAUUGGGAGAAAAUGCAAAAUGAAGAGAUUAAGAUUUAAAGUGCAGUUCAUAAAUAGUUAAAUAUGCAAGAAUGCAUUUACUAAAACAGCUGAUAGCAUUUUCAAAAAAGAAAAAUCCUGGACAAAUGAUGCAAGAUAAUACUAAUGAAUUUCUUUGAUGGGAAUGUAAUGAUAAUCAAUUACCUAAAGCAAUUACUUUGUUAGAUAUUUACUUUUCGCUUUAUGUUUUCAUAAAAGCUGACAUGCUACAGUAAACGCUCCACAAAAAAAAAAAAAAAACCAAUACUCCUGCAGUGCAGGUGAUGUCUAAAGACUCCUAUCCUGAGAAGAAAUGAUAACCUAUCAGUAAUCUCAGUUGUGUAAUUUUAAAUACACACCGACUGACCUGAUUACCAGUGCAGUCCGUAUGCACGAGUCAGCUGACACUGAUAACAUCUUUUAAAGCUCACAACCUAAACAGACGCACGCAGAAAGGGCUUUCGUGCUGGAGAACAAACUUUUCCAAAACACGGCCAUGUUACGUUAUUCACGUCACGCGGUGUUAAAAGAGACGGUGUCAGGGAAUUUGCAGGGGGUCAUGCAAGUUUGAACUGGGAAAGUCACGCAUCAACAUCAACACUGCGUUUCACAGCAGACAGAUAAAGACUUUCAUAUCAGGUACACCGUGGAGCAUAAAUGUAUAAGCAAAGACGCACACAUGCAGGCGUGCUGCUGUGACGCCGAUCGCACACCUUCGUUCUGGGAAUUGGUGUCGGUGGGUUUGCGUUGAGGGGACUGGGUGACUUCUUUGUGUCCGCAUCUGUCAUGUGCACCUCCUGGGCCCAGAAAGAGGUCACAAAGAAGAGGGUCACAUUUGUAAUGCACAUCAUACUGUACGAUACAUUAGCAAAAGGUCAUGCUUAACAGAGGACAUGCGUUCUUCACUUCCUACUGUUGUAACUGUUGCUUCAUCUCUACAGCGGCUAUGAACUAUGUCUUCAGGGAGUCAUUUCAUAAAACUCCCGGGUGUGUGCGUUUCUGCUUUGAGCCUUAACAACAGGGUUCAGAAUAGACUUUCACAGGUUGACGAUCUGAUCCGCACACAUCACACAUGCACUCACAUAAACACCUGCAUGCACACCUCCGGCUCAUCGGUAUUUCGUGACUGGAGGAAAAGGCAAAGAAGGAACGUCAGCAGCUGAGGGGCCUCGGUCAGCACGGUGUCAUGUGGCUGAGGAGAGUUACCCCGAGAGAGAGGAGGGGAGGCCAAAGACACAGACACCUAAAUCUGAGUGGCAUCGGGUCACAUUGCAUGCCAAUAACGGUCAUCAAUCAACGAUCAAGACGUUUGGCAUCGACAGGAUUAUUAUAAGAAAGGAUUUCUGUCCAAAAGCGCCAAUGUUUAGCCGUUAAAAUUGUGAUAUGAUAUUUGAAAAGAUAUUCAUGCUGCAGCUUUUGGAGCAAUGCAUAUUCCUCUAAUCUCGCCUUCUUUAGUGGAUUGGAACAAACUUUUGUUUUAUUCUAAAGACAUCAAAUAUGCCAUA